rnacentral:rRNA from 1 species
AAACCAGGGAUAGAUACCCUAUUAUAAAAAUUUAAAUUAAUUUACUAAAAAAUUAAUAGUUAUGUUCUUUAAAUUUAAAAAAUUUGGCGGUAUUUUAGUCUUAUUAGAGGAACCUGUUUUUUAAUUGAUAAUCCACGAUUUAUUUUACUUAUUUUAAUAAUUCAUAUAUCGCUGUCAUGAAUAUAUUAAAAAAUUUAUUUUCUUUAUUUAUUUUUGUAAUUUAUGUUAAGUCAAGAUGUGGUUUAUAAAUAAGUAUUUAAUGGGUUACAUUAAAUUUUAUUUAUGGAUUUUAAAUGAAAAUUAAAAUGAAAUUGGAUUUAAUAGUAAAUUUA